UACGGGGGGGGCAAGCGUCGUUCGGAAUUACUGGGCGUAAAGGGCUCGUAGGCGGCCAACUAAGUCGGAUGUGAAAUCCCCAGGCUUAACCUGGGAACUGCAUCCGAUACUGGAUGGCUUGAAUCCGGGAGAGGGAUGCGGAAUUCCAGGUGUAGCGGUGAAAUGCGUAGAUAUCUGGAGGAACACCGGUGGCGAAGGCGGCAUCCUGGACCGGCAUUGACGCUGAGGAGCGAAAGCCAGGGGAGCAAACGGG
rnacentral:rRNA from 1 species